rnacentral:rRNA from 1 species
UACGUAGGGGGCGAGCGUUGUCCGGAGUUACUGGGCGUAAAGCGCUUGUAGGCGGUCCACCAAGUUUGGGGUGACAGUUGCCGACUUAAUCGGCAAAGUGCCUCAAAGACUGGCGGACUUGAGGGCCACAGAGGGACAUGGAACUCCAGGUGUAGUGGUGAAAUGCGUAGAUAUCUGGAAGAACACCAAAGGCGAAGGCAGUGUCCUGGGUGGUCGCUGACGCUGAUGCACGAAAGCUGGGGGAGCAAACAGG